rnacentral:rRNA from 1 species
GGGGAAUAUUGCACAAUGGGCGAAAGCCUGAUGCAGCAACGCCGCGUGAGUGAUGACGGUCUUCGGAUUGUAAAGCUCUGUCUUUGGGGACGAUAAUGACGGUACCCAAGGAGGAAGCCACGGCUAACUACGUGCCAGCAGCCGCGGUAAUACGUAGGUGGCAAGCGUUGUCCGGAUUUACUGGGCGUAAAGGGUGCGUAGGCGGACCUUUAAGUGAGAUGUGAAAUCCCCGAGCUUAACUUGGGGGCUGCAUUUCAAACUGGAGGUCUAGAGUGCAGGAGAGGAGAGUGGAAUUCCUAGUGUAGCGGUGAAAUGCGUAGAGAUUAGGAAGAACACCAGUGGCGAAGGCGACUCUCUGGACUGUAACUGACGCUGAGGCACGAAAGCGUGGGGAGCA